rnacentral:rRNA from 1 species
AAUUGCAGAAUCCCGUGAACCAUCGAGUCUUUGAACGCAAGUUGCGCCCGAAGCCGUUAGGCCGAGGGCACGUCUGCCUGGGUGUCACGCAACGUCGCCAACGCCCAGACCUCUGGGCGUGGCGGAUGAUGGCCUCCCGGGAGCCUCGCCUCCCGGCUGGCCGAAAGAGGGGCCCGACGUGACGGCCGCCACGAUCCACGGUGGAUGAGUGAGCAUUCGCUCUAGGCCAAGACGUGCGCGUGUCGUCCCACGGUGAGGGCCCGUCGGCUGGGCAUGCGACGGCAGAGCCCUCCGCCCGCACGCACGCGACCCCAGGUCAGGCGGGGCUACCCGCUGAGUUUA